UGGGAAGAUAUCAAACAGAAAAUAAUACUGGUUUGUACAUGUAACACAGUAGGAAAAAUAGUAGAUUCCAAUCUCAACCACUUGCUUCCAAUACUGAAGACGCAGGAAUCUUCUGGCAAGUCUCAAUCUCUCUGAUCAGGUCUUCUCAUUAUUUGAAAAUACCAUUCUGACUACGGAAGAAUAACCAGACCAAAGGGGAAGACACUACUGAGAAGUGAUGCUGUCUCAUGACAAUUUAACAAUGGAAAUCUCCCAAUGCAGCAAAGCAGAGAUAAAAGCGACUACAGGGUGAAGCACAAGCCUAAAGAGAUGUGCCAGGUACCUGUCCACCUGGAGGUAAUACGUCUCCUACUCCACUAGCAUCAGGACCCUUUGCUCAUAUUUUAUUAGCAGGUAUGUUGAGCUGGCCUGUGUUGUAUCAGAAUGUUGCAUAGUUUUGUUUUGUUUUUUAAGAUUUUAAUUAUUUGUGAGAGAGACAGAGAAAGAUAAUGCAUGUGCAAAAAAAGAGGGAGAAGCAGACUCCUUGAUGGAUGUGGGGCUCAAUCCCAGGAUCCUGACAUCAUGAACUGAGUCAAAGGCAGACACAAUCCUCUGAGCCACCCAGGAGCCCCAGAAUGUUGCAUAGUCUUCACAACCAAAACUAAAUGCAGUAUCUUUCAGAAG
rnacentral:lncRNA from 1 species